UACGGAGGAUCCAAGCGUUAUCCGGAUUCAUUGGGUUUAAAGGGUGCGUAGGCGGAAUGAUAAGUCAGUGGUGAAAUCCUGCAGCUUAACUGCAGAACUGCCAUUGAUACUGUCAAUCUUGAGUACAUUUGAUGUGGGCGGAAUGUGUCAUGUAGCGGUGAAAUGCUUAGAUAUGACACAGAACACCGAUUGCGAAGGCAGCUCACAAAACUGUAACUGACGCUGAGGCACGAAAGCGUGGGGAGCGAACAGG
rnacentral:rRNA from 1 species